UUUUUUUUUUUACAAGUUAAGGAAGUAACUAAACAUGGCCAUUUUAGGUCGGCUCUUGUUGAGAGGUCUGCCAAGACGUACGUCCUCCAUUACGAUUUUAAGCAAGAACUUUGGAACCUGAAGCAGGCGAGACCCUGCUUCAACUAGAGGAGACCUCAUAGCCCCUCUGUACCUGGCUGGCACUGCAGUCUGACCCUUCCCCCUCCAUUCUCAAGCAGAGGUUCUGAUGCCUUAUCGGGAAGCUGGAUGGGAAGCAGAGCAGCUGGGACUUGAAGUGGCGCUCCAGUAUGGAUGUGGGCCUUUUAAGCAGUGGCUUAAUCAUCAUACCACAACAACGAACCCUGGAGGUAAA